rnacentral:lncRNA from 1 species
AAGAAAAAGUAAGUGGACCUAACCCAUUGGAUCAUGACUAGAUCCACUAUUCUGAUAUUAAAACCCGAUAUAGAUGAAAUUGGAAUAGUGGAUCUGCUUUUUUGUUUCAUUUGAGUAUUUCUUUUUCUACGAAUUCCGAGAAAAUCUGUUGAGAUUUCUGCUUAAAUCUUCUUGCUCCUAAUUUUUUCUAUUUCUAGGAAUAAAUUACUAUUCUCUUCUUUUGCAGAAAAGUUGCUUCGAAGUCACAUUCUAAGACAUAUAAGAUAAAAGACAUUUGAAAUAUCUUUUUUUUAUUCCAGACCACAAGCUCAAUUCAUAUUGAUUAUUGUUUUCAUAUAAAAAGAAGAUUUCGAUAGAAGAAUCUUUCUCUAUCUAUGACAUUCUGACUUCAUAUAAAAAAAUAUCCAUAUGGAUAGAUAUAACAUUUUUUU